CGCGUAGGCGGCCUGCCAAGUCAGGGGUGAAAGCCCCCAGCUCAACUGGGAAGUGCCUUUGAUACUGGCGGGCUCGAGCGAGGUAGGGGUCGUGGGAACUUCCGGUGGAGCGGUGAAAUGCGUUGAUAUCGGAAGGAACGCCGGUGGCGAAAGCGCACGACUGGACCUCUUCUGACGCUGAGGCGCGAAAGCCAGGGGAGCAAACG
rnacentral:rRNA from 1 species